UUUUACAGACAAUUCUUGUCUCUGUGCAAUGAAGGUAGAGCCUUUGCGUUCAUGUUUCAGAAGAACAAGGGCUCUUCCAUCCCAAAACCACCCCAAUUUUCAGGACCCAAAGAGCAAUUUUGCUGCAGAACUUUAGCUUUCUGCCUAGCGUAGUCAUUCUUAUUGGUCCUCCGAUUGUGGGAAGCAGAGGAGGAGAGGCAAAGGGAAGAAGGUGGAGCUUUUCCAAGUUAUUUCUCUGCUUCGGGGCAUGUGCAGGACAAGUCCAGAUGUACAUAUGUUUGGCUGUGCAUGAAGAGGCUGCACUCCCAACCUUCCCUUGCAAAGUGCUGUUGAAGUCACUGAGUCUGCCCUACCCACAGGGACACUCGGGGUGGAGUACUUCUAUUGCAAAACUGCUCAGCUAUUCAGCAGGCCUGGCUCGACACUCAAGAGAGGCCAUAGGCUGGGAUCAGAAGGGGCUUUAAAGGAAGAAAAGCAGAAUCAGAAUGGAUACGAAACUGAGAAGUAGGCCACGGCCUACAUGUGUCCUGCUCCAUGUUAAAAAAUAAAAGCAGAACAGUUUUUGGCUUCUCA